GUAACGGCGAGUGAAGUGGGAAGAGCUCAUGUUUGAAAUCCAGCUCCUUUGUGGGGCUGGAGUUGUAACCUAGAGGAGCGUGAUCGCCUGCCGGCAGGGCCGCGGCUAAGUCCGAUUUGAAAAGGGUACCAAGGAGGGUGGCAGUCCCGUUCGUGCCGCAGUCCCGCCGGCGUUGUGGCCCGCUUCCAACGAGUCGAGUUGCUUGGGAUUGCAGCUCAAAGUGGGUGGUAAACUCCAUCCAAAGCUAAACACGCGUGGGAGACCGAUAGCGAACAAGUACCGUGAGGGAAAGAUGCAAAGAACUUUGAAAAGAGAGUCAAAGAGUGCCUGAAAUUGCUGAGAGGGAAGCGAAGGAAAGUAGUGUCAGUCGAGGGGAUCUCGCAGCCGGGGAAUGGCCCCCAACCGGGCCCUCCCUUGCUAUCCCCCGCACUGUCAGGGGCGGGUGCUCGGCCGGAGGCGGCGGCCUGAGGUAAAGGUGGUCCGAGGUAAGAGCCGGACGAAUGCAGCAAGGACCCGCGCCCCGGUGCCGCGGCCGUCCCUGACGGAAUGUUUUUCUUUACCCCGUCUU
rnacentral:rRNA from 1 species